rnacentral:rRNA from 1 species
UACGUAGGGCGCAAGCGUUGUCCGGAAUUAUUGGGCGUAAAGAGCUCGUAGGCGGUUUGUCGCGUCUGCUGUGAAAACUCGAGGCUCAACCUCGGGCUUGCAGUGGGUACGGGCAGACUAGAGUGCGGUAGGGGUGACUGGAAUUCCUGGUGUAGCGGUGGAAUGCGCAGAUAUCAGGAGGAACACCGAUGGCGAAGGCAGGUCACUGGGCCGCAACUGACGCUGAGGAGCGAAAGCGUGGGGAGCGAACAGG